rnacentral:rRNA from 1 species
AAGUAAAUCUUGAUAAUGACAUAAUUUACUUCAAGGUCUUGACCAACUCAUGUGCCAGCAGUCGCGGUAAGACAUGGAAGGCAAGCGUUAUUCAUCUUUAUUAGGUUUAAAGGGUACCUAGACGGUAGAUAAAACCUUUUCUAAAAGAAGAAAUUGGAACUUUAUUUACUAGAGUUUUAUGUAAGGAGGUUUAGAACGGUGAGUGUAGGGAUAAAAUCUGUUGAUACCACUUAGAAACUGGUUUAGGUGAAGACAAGGUCCUAUGUAUAAACUGACGUUGAGGGACGAAGGCUCAAUAAAAGAAACGGGAUUAGUUACCCCAGUACCAAGGGCAGACAAUGAUGAAUGUCAUAUAUAAGAGAAAGCUUCUUUUAUAUAUAAAUGAAAGUGUAAACAUUCCACCUCAAGAGUAAUAUGGCAACAUAUAAACUGAAAUCAUUAGACCGUUUCUGGAACUCGUAGUGAAGUAUGUUAUUUAAUUUGAUAAUC